UACGGAGGGGGCUAGCGUUGUUCGGAAUUACUGGGCGUAAAGCGCGCGUAGGCGGCCUUGUAAGUUAGAGGUGAAAGCCCGGAGCUCAACUUCGGAAUUGCCUUUAAGACUGCAUCGCUUGAAUCAUGGAGAGGUCAGUGGAAUUCCGAGUGUAGAGGUGAAAUUCGUAGAUAUUCGGAAGAACACCAGUGGCGAAGGCGACUGACUGGACAUGUAUUGACGCUGAGGUGCGAAAGCGUGGGGAGCAAACAGG
rnacentral:rRNA from 1 species